UUGAAACAUUGUGAAGGAGGUUGAGCUGGCUCUUCUAGAGCAUGUGCUUGCCUUCUUUCAAUCUUCAUCCACCUGUGCACAUUUUGUAGAGGAUCUGGAAUGGGCGCAAGCCCUUAGUACAGUUCUUCUAUGUCUUUACACACACUUAAUGUAUGUUUAGAAUGUUGUUUACUGGGUACUUAACUGGCCCUUUAAAACUAUA
rnacentral:misc_RNA from 1 species